rnacentral:rRNA from 1 species
GUGGGGAAUUUUGGACAAUGGGCGAAAGCCUGAUCCAGCAAUGCCGCGUGUGUGAAGAAGGCCUUCGGGUUGUAAAGCACUUUUGUCCGGAAAGAAAUGGCUCUGGUUAAUACCUGGGGUCGAUGACGGUACCGGAAGAAUAAGGACCGGCUAACUACGUGCCAGCAGCCGCGGUAAUACGUAGGGUCCAAGCGUUAAUCGGAAUUACUGGGCGUAAAGCGUGCGCAGGCGGUUGUGCAAGACCGAUGUGAAAUCCCCGAGCUUAACUUGGGAAUUGCAUUGGUGACUGCACGGCUAGAGUGUGUCAGAGGGGGGUAGAAUUCCACGUGUAGCAGUGAUAUGCGUAGAGAUGUGGAGGAAUACCGAUGGCGAAGGCAGCCCCCUGGGAUAACACUGACGCUCAUGCACGAAAGCGUGGGGAGCAAACAGGAUUAGAAACCCCAGUAGUCC